GACGAACGCUGGCGGCGUGCUUAACACAUGCAAGUCGAACGGAAAGGCCCUGCUUUUGUGGGGUGCUCGAGUGGCGAACGGGUGAGUAACACGUGAGUAACCUGCCCUUGACUUUGGGAUAACUUCAGGAAACUGGGGCUAAUACCGGAUAGGAGCUCCUGCUGCAUGGUGGGGGUUGGAAAGUUUCGGCGGUUGGGGAUGGACUCGCGGCUUAUCAGCUUGUUGGUGGGGUAGUGGCUUACCAAGGCUUUGACGGGUAGCCGGCCUGAGAGGGUGAACGGGGACAAUGCGACUACGGUACGGAGCAGAGGGGAACAGGAGGCAGCAGGGGGGAGUAUGGCACAAUGGGGGGACGCCUGAUGCAGCGGCGCCCCGAGCGGGAAGACGGCCUACGGGUUGUAAACGGCAUUAGCCUGAGACCAAGCGUGAGUGACGGUAAUGGGUAAAGAAGCACCGGCUAACUACGUG
rnacentral:rRNA from 1 species